rnacentral:lncRNA from 1 species
GCUGUAUGUGCGAACACAUAAGGUGCUCUCCUGCUGUGAAAUCAGAAGAACAUAGAGAAUCACCAGAUUGCCAGGGACCUUGAGAGGACAACUAUGCAGAAAAACACUCCAAAUAAAGUGUUAUUAGACCUGAGAUACAUCACAAGAAGUUCUAGGAAGUGGCCCAUUAUCUGAUUAUCUGAUUAUCUUUUCCCUUCAGAAGUGUCCCAGCCAACUGUGAUGGAAAAACUACAG